ACACACACACACACGCACACACACACACACACACUCAUAAACACACAAACACACACACACAAACACACACAAACACACACACACACACACUCAUACAGAGAGAGGUAGAUUUGAAUAGUUCCUAUAUGCACUCCCUUGAGUUACGCCCUUCCUGUUUGUUCCUGUCGCUGCUCUGAGGUUCUUGUUAGAGUUCAUCAGUCUCUCUCAAUGGCUCACAAACGGAGGAUCAAAAGUUGUAUUCUAAUGUGUGCAUGUCUGCUGGCGCUGCCGUCCGGACGGGACGCUCUCACCUGCUGCAGAAGAGAUUUCAGCAACGGAUCGACCUCCUGUCAGCUGAGUGACGCUCCUGAUCCCACCUGUGUCACAGAAUGGAUCGCUGACGGUGUAACGGUGGUGGACGAGACUGGAGAGACGGUUCUGACCAGAGUUCAGCAUGCAGAACCACAGACUCUCAUUCUGAAAGAGAGACACACCGAGAUUAAUUUCCAGAUGGAGUGUGCUGCACCGAAGAACCUUGUGAAACUGUCUUGUAAUGAUCUCUGUCCGUCUUCAGAUGAACUCGCCACGACUACAGAAUCGCAGCACACUAAUAACGCUGUAAACAAGAACACUAAUGACGGCGUCUUCAUCAUCCUGUCCAUCAUCAUCAUCAUCUUCACUGUCACCUAGGCCGUUUGAGUGUGUUUUGUGGUGAAGACUCUGGAUUCUGCGUCGCGGAGACCAAAACCAGAGAUCAACCACAAACAGAUCAUCUGACCGUCUGCUGUUGAUCUGCAUCAAUGCUUGACCAGCCUCAGUAAUUCAGGAGUAUCUUUGCUAAAGUUAUGAUAAACAGCACUGAUAUUAAUAGAGUUCAGUAGCUUGUGCUCAAAUAUUCAUCUGAUGCUUUUCAUUGCUUUCACUUUCUGAAAAUAUUAGAUUAUAAGAAAUAUUAUCAACAUACAAUAUUAUAUCAUACAUGAAACUAUAUAUUUUAAUGAAAAUAAAAUAUUAUUAUUUCUCAUUUAUAUUUAAAUGCAAUAUAACAUAUUAUGGUAACACUUUACAAGGUUCCAUCUGUUGACAUUAGUUAACAUGAACACUACUUCGACAGCAUUUAUUAAUGUUAAUUUCUACAUUGAGUUUUAUCUGUUAAUGUUAGUUAAAUGCACUGUGAACUAACAUGAACAAACAACGAACAGUUGUGUAUUAAGAACCAAUAACAAAUAUUAAAUAUAGCUGCAAGCAGCAAUUAUGGGGCCAAGCACAAAGAGCAUGAUAAACCAUGCCAACAUGGCUGAAAAAUCAUAAAUACAGUCAUUAGAAAUAUGAUUGAAAGGUUUAUUACAGUCGACCAAUAGGUGUUGCUGUGACCAAACUGAUGUGGUGUGGUCAGAGUAAAGUGACAACGAAACAUGCAAAGUUUGGUGUCAAUAGGGCAAAGCAGUGCAGAGAUACAGCUUCAGAGUCGUUUUGGCAUCAGGCCUCAAAUUUGUUGCUGCGCUUUACGAAAACAGUUUUGUCUAUUGACAGGAAAUCCAUAACUUUUUGCCGGCACGAUCUGAAGGUGAUCUGACUCAAAUUUGAUGAAAAUCAGACUAACGGUCUAGGAGGAGUUUGAAAAAGUAGGUUUUUAAAAUCAAAAUCAAAAUGGCGGACAGCAAGCUUGGCCAACUAUGGCAACAUUGGUAUGUGUGACAAUAGAUUAAAUUAAUCAGAAGCUAUCAGCAUUUUUUUUAAAUUUCAUUAUAACAUUUGACCACAAGGAGGCGCUGUCUCGAAACCUUUUGAGUACCUUCAGAGUAUGGUGCUGAUGGAACAUACUGAGUUCCGUAAUGGUACAUCGAUGCAUUUUAUAUCAUAAUACUGUAAUUGUAGUUAAUGGCAAUUUCAUAUUUUGUUCAAUUAUAGAGCCACCAAGUGACACAAUCCCACCACUUUUUUAUGUGUCCUCAAAGUGAGCCCAUACAUGUGUGUGUCAAAUUUGGUGAAAAUAUCUCAUUUCGUUUCGGAGUUAUAGACAAUUAUAUGUAUGAAAUCAUAAAAAUGACCCAUGGAUGACUUUGAUUGGAUUUGUUUGCUACUUGCUAUCAAAAUUUUGACAUUUGGGUAUUAACACUUAGUUAACGAACUAUGGAUCCAAAUUGGAUCCCAUGACCCAUACCAAGUUUCACAACGACAUGCUAAUGCGUUCAUAAAAUACAGCAUUUUAGCACAAAAUGCAAAAUGGCUGACAUGGAAAAAUUGGAUAUCAUUCGACUCGGCAUGUCACCCUGAAUCUAACAAGUUACAAACUAACAAACCAUUCAGGAGUUAUAAACAAAAAUAGCCUUAUUUUUUUUUUUUUGUAUCUCCGGACCAGUGGGUGGCGCUGUGCUGAAACGCAGCAUGUUGCCUCAGGUCAUGCUUGUGAUGACACGUACCAAGUUUAGUCUGAAUACGAUAAAGCGUUGCAGAGAUACAGCCUUAUGUCUAUUUUCGCAAACACAAGGUAAAAUUAGUUUGUGUGUAUUUUUGAAAACGGUUUAACAAAACAACUUGAAUUCCAAAACUUUUAGUCAACGUGAUCUGAAGAUGAUCUGGUUCAAUUUUUGUGAAAAUCAGAGCAACGGCCUAGGAAGUAUGUUUUUCGGAAAAUUCAAAAUGGCAGAAGAAUUUUGGAAGGGAAAAAAAUUUUGUUUCUAGCCCUUAUGGAUCAAAAAUUAUUAGCAUGAACGUGAGUGCAACUUUGGACAGCUGGUGGCGCUAGAGGGACUGAGUUAGAGACUCCAAUGGUGACAGUUCAGACCGUCCUCUAUCAGUGUGCCAAACUUCACAACUUUCCCGCCAGCGGUUCUCUGGGCUCCCAUAGACUUCCAGAGCGGAAGAAUAAUAAUAACAUCAGUGAUUAUAACAGGUGUCUACACACCUUCAGUGCUGGACCUGAAAUGCUGUAAUAGUAUAUUGUUCAUUGUUAGUUCAUGUUAACUAAUGCAUUCACAAAUAUUAACAACUGAGACCUUAUUGUAAAGUGUUAUUUUAUAAUAUUAUAUUGUUAUAUUAUUGUAGUAUUGAGUUAUAUUAUUAUAUUAUAUUAUAACUGACUAUUUGUAGUUUUUCAUUCAACAGAAACAGCUUCUUGAUAUUUUAAAUUUGAUUGAAUGCAAAAACUCAAACAUUAUGAAUAGGGAUGCACCGAUACCAUUUUUUAAGGACCGAGUAAGAGUACCGAUACUUUUUUCCUAGUACUCGCCGAUACCGAUAAUGAUGCCUAUACAUUUAUUAAUUUCUCUCUCUCACAACACAGUGAGACUAAUGAAUGUAGGACAGCUUCUUUAUUAUUACUCUAAUGAAAAAAGUAAUAAUUUUUAUGUGCUUGUCACAAACUUAAAGAACAAAAAUUUCACAGUGUCCAAUAACCUUCAAAGGGCAUAAUUACCAAUAUAUAUAAUUGUUGUUAUAUAAAAAUACAAUUACAUACAAAUUACAAACAAUACAACAAAUACUAUAGAGAUACAAAUUAAAUAAACUUGUUUUUCAGAUACAGUAGGUUUAUUUACCAUGUAUACAUUUAUUUAACAUAUUUUGUUGUUUUAUUAACAUUAAUGACAAAUAUAGGCUACGGUCCCUUUAAGACAGAAUCCAUGGAUACUGACACAUAUCCUGUUUUCAGCCAAAUGUUUACGUCCACUUAAGCCAUAACCGACUGUAUUUACGUGAGAUACUCCACACGAUGGACAUUUUGACAACUAUGUGUGCAUUUGACCAUUCAGGCACGAGGAGAACUGAUCGCGCGCUGUCUGAGAGAACUGGGAUCGAGAGAGCGCGCUUCUGGCCUGUGUCAUUCAGUGCGAUUCCGCCUAUCCCGCCUUCACUAAUCGAUAACGAGUUGUGAUUGAAAGCAUGCAGUUCGUAAUGUGUGUGUUGUCAUCAUUAAUUUUGAAGUAUUUCCACACCCCUGAGGCUGACAUUGUCUCUGCUGCUGCCGCCGGUGUUUCUCUGUGCGCGGGAAAUUCUGUCAGUCACGUCACGUGAGGUAUCGGUCUUUGGUAUCGGGGGUAUUUUUACGAGUACAAGUACAAGUACAUGAGCUUGGUAUCGGCCGAUAAUGAUACUGGUAUCGGUAUCGGUGCAUUCCUAAUUAUGAACAGUAAAUCAGGAUUUAAAUUUGUUUGUCUUUUUUUUUUUUUAUCCUGGUAAAAUCAUCAGGGGCCGCAUUCACAAAACAUUUGAUCUUACCACUAAGAGUUCUCCUAAAUGGCAGUAAAAGUUCUUAGUUGAGAGUUUUCUGUUAAAACCUAUUCACAAAUUUGCUGAGACAAACUUCUACUAAGGAAUAGACUGAAGUCUUAAGCUAAGAGUAAGGGCGGGGCUGACCUCGUUGCUAUGGAUGAUGACAAUUUUUAUUCUCCAUCAUUCAAUACAUUUUGCCUGUACAUAAAUGAAGCUUUAUGUUAUGCCAUCGUAGAUUAAAGUCUAUAAAUCAAAAUAUUUAUUGCAUUUAUGAAGGAAACGUUCAGAACUCAAGGCUGUAUCACUGUUUUCUCAAUAGUGUUCAGUGUCUUUGGGUGGAUUGCUGAGGCAGAUUGCCGGCAACAACCAUUUUAGGAUUGUUUGUGAUUUGGUAUUUUAGAAGUCCUCUUGACGACUCCUAAUGUUUCACAGGUUUAGGGGCGAGUUUUAGUGCUAAAAUGCUUUGUGUAAUACUCUUAGAGCAAAAUUGUAGGAGUCCUACAUUUAGGACUGACACCCGUUAUUUUUAUAUAAGAGUUUCUCCUAAAUUGGCAAGUUAGGAGCUACUUUAAGCCUUGAGAUGUUUUGUGAAUACGGCUCCUGUUGUUCUUGUUUUCUCUGUUAUUCUGUAGUUUAGUGUUUUACUCACAGGUUUAACUGCUGAUAGAGAUAGUGAUGCGAUUUCAUUUGAUAUUAAAAGUGUUGAUGAUAUAAAAGUAAAGUGUUUAUACAAAUUAAAAAAGUACAUAGAAUAAAUAUUCUGACUGAAACUCUCUGACUCUGUUGGAUUUUCUCUGCUUUAUUGUUACUUUCAUUUCCAUUUUUACUCUUAUGUAUUUGUUUCCUUUUCCUGUAAAGCACUUUGAAUUAUCAUUGUGUAUGAAAUGUGCUAUAUAAAUAAACUCGCCUUUCCUAAAAAUAAACUUGCCUAGAUCCCCAUUGUAAGGCAGUUUGUUCCCUCACUGAUUACAUUCACUCUAUUUUAGGUGACAUAGUUACAUUGUACUUGAAUAAGUACUGAGUAAUACUAAUUAAUACAAACUGCAUGUAAUUACUAUAAGGUUAGGGUUUGGUUCAGAUACCUGUAAUUAUGCAGAAUUUACUGUUAUUACCAGAAUAAGUACAUGUAAUAACGUGUAACAAUGUCACCUUAAAAUAAGUGUUACCUUUAUUUCUCCUGUGAGUUUUCUUCGGUGGAUUAAAUAAAGACUGUUUUGUUCUCUA